rnacentral:rRNA from 1 species
GACGAACGCUGGCGGCGUGCCUAAUACAUGCAAGUGGGACGCAAGAGAACACACUGUGCUUGCACACCGUGUUUUCUUGAGUCGCGAACGGGUGAGUAACGCGUAGGUAACCUGCCUAUUAGCGGGGGAUAACUAUUGGAAACGAUAGCUAAUACCGCAUAAUAUUAAUUAUUGCAUGAUAAUUGAUUGAAAGAUGCAAGCGCAUCACUAGUAGAUGGACCUGCGUUGUAUUAGCUAGUUGGUAAGGUAAGAGCUUACCAAGGCGACGAUACAUAGCCGACCUGAGAGGGUGAUCGGCCACACUGGGACUGAGACACGGCCCAGACUCCUACGGGAGGCAGCAGUAGGGAACCUUCGGCAAUGGACGAAAGUCCGACCGAGCAACGCCGCGUGAGUGAAGAAGGUUUUCGGAUCGUAAAGCUCUGUUGUAAGUCAAGAACGUGUGUGAGAGUGGAAAGUUCACACAGUGAC